AUCUUUGCGAAUUGGUUGUGGUCC
rnacentral:siRNA from 1 species